rnacentral:rRNA from 1 species
UGGGGAAUCUUGCGCAAUGGGCGAAAGCCUGACGCAGCGACGCCGCGUGAGGGAAGAAGGCCUUCGGGUUGUAAACCUCUUUCAGGAGGGACGAAGCCACUCGGGUUAAUACCCCAGAGGGUGACGGUACCUCCAGAAGAAGCCCCGGCUAACUACGUGCCAGCAGCCGCGGUAAUACGUAGGGGGCAAGCGUUGUCCGGAAUUAUUGGGCGUAAAGAGCGUGUAGGCGGCCAGGUAGGUCCGUUGUGAAAACUUGAGGCUCAACUUCGAGAUGUCGACGGAAACCAUCUGGCUAGAGUCCGGAAGAGGAGAGUGGAAUUCCUGGUGUAGCGGUGAAAUGCGCAGAUAUCAGGAGGAACACCCGUGGCGAAAGCGGCUCUCUGGGACGGUACUGACGCUGAGACGCGAAAGCGUGGGGAGCGAACAGG